CUUCGCCCUCCUGUGCUCUGUCCGGGUCGGGCCGUGGUGGGCUCUGGAUGGAGCUCGGCCCCAUGACGGCAGCCGUGGGGUUUCUGACUGUGCCUCGGCCAUGUGGGAGGCUGAUCCCAGAGCUGUUUUUGCAUUAGUUGUAUUGAGGGCGUUCAUCUGGGGAAGCUGGGAACGUCAGAGGUGGCUCUGACGGCUGUUAGUCAAGCAGUAGCUCAGUGCUGUACCUUAACGGGCAGGCAGGGCGUGAUUUGCAGGCAGGAGACGCAAAGGUGGGAGAAGUGGGAGAUGAUCUCAUCCCUGCCUCUUCCUGGGUUCAGCGCGAGUGCCACAGCUUGAGCCCCUGUAGGGAAGACAAAGAGGAAGGGGAGCUGUCGCAGUGUCAGAGCGGUGGUGAUCCCUUCACGGAAGAAGGCAGAAUACGGGUCCUGUGGGCCUCUGCGGGGUCCCAGCUUUCUGAGAAGGCUGAGCCCUGCCAGCGCCAAGCACAGGGAUGUGCAGGAUAGAAGGUAAUCAGCCAGGUGGCACUCAGGUGCUAGGACAAAAGGGCUCACUGGAACUGAACGGGUUGGUAUCCUCAGGUGUAUAUCCAAUGCCUGUCACUAUAUAGGUGCCUUUCUGAGUCUUACAUAGAAAGGCAGCGGGAAGGCACCUUGCUGUGGGCAGCGUGGGCUUCAUCUCAUGCGUGGAACACCACCGAGCGGUGGUGUCCCGCAUGCUGUCUCAGAGGAGCCGUGGUGAACCCUAUCUUCUCCCAGUUCCUUUACCAGCGUGGAUGAGGAGUCUUUGAUGCAAACUGUGAGCUCUGGUACAGAUGCACGUUCCAGCCAGUAAUGCUGAAGUACUGCUGGGGAGAGGAUGAGUUCACCCUAUAUGUGGAGGAUUUGCUGGCUGAGGUGUGCUAGAGGGACGUGCAAGGAAGGGAUCUGGAACAAAGCUGGUGAAGAAAGGCAGUGUGUGGCCUGGCUCCCACCACAGCUGAAUGGCUCAGCUCUGUGCUUCGCUCUGCCCUGCAGCAGUGGCUGAGGCCUGACCCUAUUCUCACAAUGAGCCAAUGUUGGCACUUCUGAGGAAUGCAAUGGCUCUCAUCGAGCUGUGCUGAAAGAGGCUGCAGAGCGUUUUCUAGGCCUGCUUCUCUCUUCAGGACUUUAUUUUACCCUGCAGAAUAUUAAAGGUAAUGAAUUUCCAGGCUCCUCCGUGUAUCAGUUUCCUCUUUCCUGGUGAGAGCGAGCUGCCUGUGGGACAUCACAUGGCCCAACCACAGUCAUCACACGCUUCUUGCUCACCUGGACAGCCCGUGUGCUCAUCCUUAUGUGCAGGGCCUUGUGACUCCCACGCACCGUCAGCCUGGGCACUGCCGUGAGUGCAGGCGAUGGAUGGCCCUUCUCCGGCCAACAGCCAUGCUGCACCGAAACUUCCUGCUAUAAAAACUGCUGGCUUGAAAGAGAAACAUAAGAUGUCCUUUGAAGCCAAGCGCACUGGCAGCAGGCAGCAAAGGCAGCAGCAGCGGAGUGGUGGAUCUGUGCUGGUUUAAUGUGCAGCGCCUCCUCCCAGGGCUCAGGCAGAAGCAUUCUAAGCCCCAGCAGUGCCAAGACAGGAUGUGCCUGUUUCCUGUAUGUCUUCAGAGCAGCCUUUUGCUGCACUCUGGUCAGUGCCGACGAGAUCGCCCCUCAGUUUAAGGCAUUGCUUUUCCAGGGCGCUUGGUUGGACUGCAGCCCAGUGGUGCGUUACAGUGCUAUCUCCUGGGCGUGUGCAGAAGCAGGAGCACGUUCCAGGUGUGAGCCCACCAGGCCCACGGUGUUACAUCUGAAUCCAGCCCUCAUUCAGCUUCCAGCGCUGGGCCAGCCUGCUCCUUGCUCUGAGCCGGUGUGGGGCUCCCAAACCCAAAGCACAGUGGUGGUGUCAUCCUUCCACCGGAGUCCCGCGCAAAGGCUGAUGAUGAGAGAUUUCACGUCGAAAAGAUGAAGGCCGCUUCCCAAAGGUCAGCCCGCUGCCCACCCGGACACGGCCGGCGGUGCCCUGAGCCCGGUGCUGCCAGGGGCCGCCAGCAGGAGGGGCUGCGCGGCCGUGGGAGAGCCGAGGCCCGUCGGGCACCCACGGGCUCCUGUCCAUUUCAGUCUUUGGGGAGAGCCUCAUUGGGCGGUUACUUUUCUUGGGGUGACUCUAUGCCCCUGCAAUGAGUGGUGUCAGCUAACCUUUGCCAAUGACCCGCCCUUGUUUCCUUUUAAGCCGAGGCUAGCAGGUAUUCACUUAUCUUUGUCUUUAUUGGUUCUUCUACUUAUCUGGCUAGAAAACAACCCCUAGAAAUCCCCAGCCUUGAUAUUUACCAAGAGACACGGAAACCGGUUCACGUGGUGCCGGCCUGCUCUGAGUGAUGCCAGCACAGCCCACAGCUGAAGCGGGGCCACCAGCGUGGCGUGGCUGCAGGGAGUGAGAGAACCCACCCGCUGCUUCCUCCAGCCUGGAGACAGCGCCUGGAAGAGGGGCCCAGCACUGCAAGAAGCACCCAGUGUGUGCUCGGUGCUACUUCCAAAGCCCCAUGGGGCUCGAAGCAAGAGCAGAGUUUGGGUAUGUGUGACAACGAGGUUUCGCUGCCGCCUGUCACGUCUCAGAUGAAGCUUCAGGAACAGGAUCCUUUGCCAGUAACCACCACCUUGAGCUGAUGUUAUCUGGUUUCUGCAGAAUGAACUUGCUGAGCUGUCAUCUGUAUCGCUGUCGGGGGAAGUCCUGACUCCUGACGCUGCAGUUCCUGUGGUGGCUCCGCCAGCGCCCUGAUUCCAGCAGCACCGCCGGCUAAGGAGGAUCUGCUGGAAACCUGCGGCAGCAAGGCUGGGGCUGCCGGGAGGGGGUGGGCGCUGAGGCUUUGUGCCUGCCCCGGUGCUGGUGGGGCCUCCAGGCAGGCCGGCGUGUGCCUUCUGGCCGCUGCUGGCAGCGCACUGUGCAGUGCUGCUGAGUGCCGUAGCCCUGUGAGCUGGACAGGGCGGUGUGCUGGAGUGAUCUGCCACACAGGCACACCCUGUGGGUGCCCAGGAAGAGUCACUGCUGCACUUCUGUAGGUAUCUGCUAGAGGAGGCAUCUCUCCUUUUUGGUGGAGAUCUUCCCCCUUAGCAAUGUGACCUGAUGCGCUCAUCGCUUCCAGGCUGCAGAUGUUGGUUGUGUAGCAAGCUGAGGUACCAGCGAGGCGUUGGCUGGGCCUCUCACAGCGGGGCAGCUGAAAUAUGGCUUCCUGCAGCCACUCUGCUGCCAGGCGAUACCAUCAGGUCGCUGGCUGAUGUGCACAAGGUUUUAGGAGCAGCACGGGGUGCCAGAGUGCCCCGCUGGGUCUCGCUGCCAGCACAGAGCCAAGUGCAUGGGUAUCUCCCUGCCUGAUGGCCGCCACGUGUCAGGGCUGCUGCACCUCAGUGUUGCUCCUCACCACGUUCCAGAGCAUGGCCAAGCACCGGCUGUCAGCCACGCAGCAGGGUGAGGGUGCAAAUGGGUUCAAAGCCGUGCUCAAACUGGGUGUGCCUACCUGGUGCAUCCAGCCUCUGUGCAGCAGUGGGGAAAGAGGGAGGGAGCCUUGGGAACGGGAACGGGAGAGCACGUCCAUCCCAUUAUAACCGCAGUGUAGACGGCUGUGGGAGAUCUUGCCUCGUAUGUUGCGUCACUUCUACUAGCCCCACUGUGAAAAUGGGAGACGUUCAAAGAUGGGCACUGACCUCAAUCUGUGGCAUAGGAAAAUUUCCCUAUGUGGAGACUAAAAGUCCCGGUAGUUUAGAGCGGAAACUAAUGAAAUGCCGCGUGAUAGAGAUGUGUAGAGCAAUGCCUGGCUUAGAGAUAAGUCUGUUCCUCUGCUCACCCCCUCACAAGAUGUUCAAAGAAAUGGAAAGACAACUCAUUUCAAACUGGUAAACUGACACGCUUCUCAGAGAGCAGCUAAUUGCUUUGUGCAGGUGGACAAGGUGCCCGCUGGCGUCGCAGAGCACUGAGGAUGAGGUGCCCAUGAAAAAUGAGGAUGCCAAAACUCAGGUCCAAGAGUUUGGAUUAAAAAAAUUAGGAAAUGGCACGGCUCUUGGACGUGUGCUUUGGGAUUCAGGUGAAGGGGGGAGGGAAGGAGGUUCUGCCUUUCUCUGUCCCCUCUUUGAAGCUACAGUGGGAGCUGUCAGCAGCAGCAGGAGCUCCUCACGCUGGGGCUAAGGCUGUGGCCCCUCUCCCUUGUUGCACCUCCCAGGCACUGCUGGGCACGAGGCCCUGAGAAAUGGGGCAGAAAGGGAGAAAUGGUGAAGAAAAAGGGGAGAAAGUGAAGAAGCUGCUGUUGGGAUGGGAGUGUGCUUGGAGCAAUCCCGCUGUUCAGCCAUUCCCUGCUGAGAAGGGCAUCUUGGAGUCUGCUAGCUGCAAGAACAUGCCCCACACGUACUGUGCCCUGUCCUUGGGAGGGCUGGACAGAUGGUGAGGGUGAGCUUGAUGAACAUUUCUCUCUGAAAGGAAUCAUGCAUUCAUUUAGGUGACAAGUAAUGCGUUUGCCCCUGUGCCCCAUGCCCCAGGGCAUGGCAGCAGUGCCCAGCGAGGAUCAGUCCCUGUCAAGCUGCAGCCAUCCCUAGGAGCAAAAUUGUUGCUGCUCAGUUGGACCCACUGCAACGUCAGCACAGGCCUGA
ensembl:lncRNA